UACGAAGGGGCUAGCGUUGCUCGGAAUCACUGGGCGUAAAGCGCACGUAGGCGGAUUGCUAAGUCAGGGGUGAAAUCUUGGAGCUUAACUCCGAAACUGCAUUCGAUACUGCCGUGCUUGAGGACUGGAGAGGAGACGUGGAAUUUACGGUGUAGCGGUGAAAUGCGUAGAUAUCGUAAGGAAGACCAGUGGCGAAGGCGGGUCUCUGGACAGUUCCUGACGCUGAGGCACGGAAGGUCAGGGGAGCAAACGGG
rnacentral:rRNA from 1 species